rnacentral:rRNA from 1 species
GACGUAGGGCGCGAGCGUUGUCCGGAUUUAUUGGGCGUAAAGAGCUCGUAGGCGGCUUGUCGCGUCGUUCGUGAAAACCUGCAGCUCAACUGCAGGCUUGCGGUCGAUACGGGCAGGCUAGAGUUCGGUAGGGGAGACUGGAAUUCCUGGUGUAGCGGUGAAAUGCGCAGAUAUCAGGAGGAACACCCGUGGCGAAGGCGGCUCUCUGGGACGGUACUGACACUGAGACGCGAAAGCGUGGGGAGCGAACAGG